UACAGAGGGUGCGAGCGUUAAUCGGAAUUACUGGGCGUAAAGCGUGCGUAGACGGCUAUCUAAGUCGGGUGUGAAAGCCCCGGGCUCAACCUGGGAAUUGCAUUCGAGACUGAAUAGCUAGGGUACGGUAGAGGGAAGCGGAAUUUCCGGUGUAGCGGUGAAAUGCGUAGAUACCAGGAGGAACACCGGUGGCGAGGGCGGCUUCCUGGCCGAGUACUGACGCUGAGGCACGAAAGCGUGGGGAGCGAACGGG
rnacentral:rRNA from 1 species